ensembl:snRNA
CAUUUGCAUACAAAAAAAGAAAUUUAGCAUUCCCUUUGAUAAGGACGGAAGAGGCCCUCGGGUCUAACAACACAAAUAUUAAGGCCUUUCCACUUACUUUCUGGCAUCUAACUAGAUUUUUAU